GAUGAAGAACGUAGCGAAAUGCGAUAAGUAAUGUGAAUUGCAGAAUUCAGUGAGUCAUCGAAUCUUUGAACGCACAUUGCGCCCGCCAGUAUUCUGGCGGGCAUGCCUGUUCGAGCGUCAUUUCAACCCUCAAGCCCCCGGGCUUGGUGUUGGGGAUCGGCGUGCCCUCGCGGCGCGCCGUCCCCUAAAUCUAGUGGCGGUCUCGCUGUAGCUUCCUCUGCGUAGUAGCAACACUCGCACUGGAUCGCAGCGCGGCCACGCCGUUAAACCCCCCACUUCUGAAAGUUUGACCUCGGAUCAGGUAGGAAUACCCGCUGAACUUAAGCAUAUCAAUAAGCGGAGGA
rnacentral:misc_RNA from 1 species